UGGUGGGUAGUUUGACUGGGGCGGUCUCCUCCUAAAGAGUAACGGAGGAGCACGAAGGUUGGCUAAUCCUGGUCGGACAUCAGGAGGUUAGUGCAAUGGCAUAAGCCAGCUUGACUGCGAGCGUGACGGCGCGAGCAGGUGCGAAAGCAGGUCAUAGUGAUCCGGUGGUUCUGAAUGGAAGGGCCAUCGCUCAACGGAUAAAAGGUACUCCGGGGAUAACAGGCUGAUACCGCCCAAGAGUUCAUAUCGACGGCGGUGUUUGGCACCUCGAUGUCGGCUCAUCACAUCCUGGGGCUGAAGUAGGUCCCAAGGGUAUGGCUGUUCGCCAUUUAAAGUGGUACGCGAGCUGGGUUUAGAACGUCGUGAGACAGUUCGGUCCCUAUCUGCCGUGGGCGCUG
rnacentral:rRNA from 2 species